GGUUCCGUGGUGUAGUUGGUUUAUCACAACAGUCUAACACACUGUAGGUCUCCGGUUUGGUCCCGGACGGAACCA